GAUGAACGCUGGCGGCGUGCUUAACACAUGCAAGUCGAACGAAGCAGAUUGAGAUCUUCGGAAGGAUAUCUGACUGAGUGGCGGACGGGUGAGUAACACGUGGGUAACCUACCUCAUACAGGGGGAUAACAGUUAGAAAUGACUGCUAAUACCGCAUAAGCGCACAGUACCGCAUGGUACGGUGUGAAAAACUCCGGUGGUAUGAGAUGGACCCGCGUCUGAUUAGCUAGUUGGUGGGGUAACGGCCUACCAAGACGACGAUCAGUAGCCGACCUGAGAGGGUGACCGGCCACAUUGGGACUGAGACACGGCCCAAACUCCUACGGGAGGCAGCAGUGGGGAAUAUUGCACAAUGGGCGAAAGCCUGAUGCAGCGACGCCGCGUGAGUGAAGAAGUAUUUCGGUAUGUAAAGCUCUAUCAGCAGGGAAGAAAAUGACGGUACCUGACUAAGAAGCACCGGCUAAAUACGUGCCAGCCGCCGCUGUAAGAC
rnacentral:rRNA from 1 species